rnacentral:rRNA from 1 species
GCUACGGGAGGCAGCAGUGGGGAAUAUUGCACAAUGGGGGAAACCCUGAUGCAGCGACGCCGCGUGAGUGAAGAAGUAUCUCGGUACGUAAAGCUCUAUCAGCAGGGAAGAAAAUGACGGUACCUGACUAAGAAGCCCCGGCUAACUACGUGCCAGCAUCCGCGGUAAUACGUAGGGGGCAAGCGUUAUCAGGAUUUACUGGGUGUAAAGGGAGCGUAGACGGGAGCACAAGUCUGGAGUGAAAUCCCGGGGCUUAACCCCGGAACUGCUGUGGAAACUGUGCGGCUGGAGUGCAGGAGGGGUAAGCGGAAUUCCGAGUGUAGCGGUGAAAUGCGUAGAUAUUAGGAGGAACACCGGUGGCGAAGGCGGAUUACUGGACUGUAACUGACGUUGAGGCUCGAAAGCGUGGGGAGCAAACAGGAUUAGAUACCCCAGUAGUC